rnacentral:rRNA from 1 species
UACGUAGGGUGCUAGCGUUGUCCGGAUUCAUUGGGCGUAAAGAGCUCGUAGGCGGUUCGGCAAGUCGGGUGUGAAAACUCCAGGCUCAACCUGGAGACGCCACCCGAUACUGCUGUGACUCGAGUCCGGUAGGGGACCACGGAAUUCCUGGUGUAGCGGUGAAAUGCGCAGAUAUCAGGAGGAACACCGGUGGCGAAGGCGGUGGUCUGGGCCGGCACUGACGCUGAGGAGCGAAAGCGUGGGGAGCGAACAGG